GUUUUGUUGGGGUUGAGUUCCAUGAAGAAGAAGCUCACUGAGUGUGAUGCCUUAACAAAAGCAGCACACGUCCUACAAAGAAGUAAGGGCACAUGGACAUCCAGCCAUCUUGAAACCUGCUCUGCAAGGCAUUCAUACCCACAAGGAAAGAUGAAGGUGAAGAGCUGUGUCCUGGUGGCUAUUGCUUCUGUAACAACCGCUCAGAUGAGCAAUUUCCUUUCUUCUACAUUUCAUUUUGCUUUGGAGGCUUUGAGACAAACUCUGCAGGAGUAGAGGGUUAACGUCUUAAAACCGGGCAGUUUCCAGAGAAGAUAAGUUCUCCAUGCUACCAUGGGAAGAAGACCUAUGGAGAAGGGAGUUGAGAAGUGAGCUGUUCCCAAUGAGUGCCGUGCACCAUCACUGAUGCUUUAGAAGGAAGCAUGGCCUGUCUUAAGUCCUCCUCUGAGCCAACAAGAAAAUCAAAUAUUAUUUUUAAAGGUAUGCUACAGAAUCUGAUGGGUUUUUUGUGCUUUCAGUGCAAAAUGGGGUAUAUGAAAUGAAGAUUUUAUGUAAUUUUUUUUUUAAGCGAUGUAACAUUGAACAUUUUCAUCCAGGAGUGUCUUACAAGAAAUCCC
rnacentral:lncRNA from 1 species